rnacentral:rRNA from 1 species
AGAGUUUGAUCCUGGCUCAGAUUGAACGCUGGCGGCAGGCCUAACACAUGCAAGUCGAGCGGAUGAGGGUAGCUUGCUACCUGAUUCAGCGGCGGACGGGUGAGUAAUGCCUAGGAAUCUGCCCGAUAGUGGGGGACAACGUUUCGAAAGGAACGCUAAUACCGCAUACGUCCUACAGGAGAAAGCAGGGGACCUUCGGGCCUUGCGCUAUCGGAUGAGCCUAGGUCGGAUUAGCUAGCUGGUGGGGUAAAGGCUCACCAAGGCGACGAUCCGUAACUGGUCUGAGAGGAUGAUCAGUCACACUGGAACUGAGACACGGUCCAGACUCCUACGGGAGGCAGCAGUGGGGAAUAUUGGACAAUGGGCGAAAGCCUGAUCCAGCCAUGCCGCGUGUGUGAAGAAGGUCUUCGGAUUGUAAAGCACUUUAAGCUGGGAGGAAGGGCAGUAAGUUAAUACCUUGCUGUUUUGACGUUACCAGCAGAAUAAGCACCGGCUAACUUCGUGCCAGCAGCCGCGGUAA